GCAGAGUGAUAUUCGGGGGCAGCAGCUUGUACAUCCGGGUCCGUCACUGCGGUGACGUUAAAACUAAGCGUCAGGAGUUUCCCGUGAUCCUUUGCUCCAGCUUGUCCUGACCUCUGUAGUCUGUGUGCUAGAAGACGGAGAGAAAUGGUGCCUCCUGUGCAGGUUUCUCCUCUUAUUAAGACAGCCCGGUACUCGGCUCUGAUUGUGGGGCUCAUCUACGGUAAAAAGCGCUAUGAUUACCUGAAGCCCAUAGCAGCGGAGGAGAGGAGGAUCGAGGAGGAGGAGAAGAAAGUGAGGGAGGAACAGGAACGCAUCGCCAAACAGCUGGCUGAGGCGAAUGAAGACACGAUCCUGAAGUGAGUGCUCUGCAGUGUGUGUGCUGUGAUUAUGGACCCGUUCUGGAGGUCUCGCUGUUCUUCUCUUCACCUUCCUGUACGUUAUUCCUGUGUUAGUAAAACAUCACAAUCCAUGAGCACGUGUUCACCUGCGUGCUUCUUCUCUCACCUCAUGAGUCUGGAGACUGGGAUCAGUUCCUGCCAUCGCCCUGAUCACGAUUAUGUAUAAUUAAUAAAUCAAUAAAUAAAUUCCCUGAA